rnacentral:rRNA from 1 species
AUACGGAGGGGGUUAGCGUUGUUCGGAAUUACUGGGCGUAAAGCGUACGUAGGCGGAUUAGUAAGUUAGGGGUGAAAUCCCGAGGCUCAACCUCGGAACUGCCUCUAAAACUGCUAGUCUUGAGUUCGAGAGAGGUGAGUGGAAUUCCUAGUGUAGAGGUGAAAUUCGUAGAUAUUAGGAGGAACACCAGUGGCGAAGGCGGCUCACUGGCUCGAUACUGACGCUGAGGUACGAAAGUGAGGGGAGCAAACAGGAUUAGAAACCCUAGUAGUCC